CAGGAGGGGGUGAGGGAUAAGACUACACAUAAGGUGGAGUUCAUACACAUGAGGGAUAAGACUACGCAUAAAGUAGAGUUCAUACUGCUCACAUGACAGGUGUACCAAAAUCUCAGAAAUCACCACUGAAGAACUUAUUCAUGUAACCAAAAACCACCUGUUCCCCAAAAACUAUUGAAAUAAAAAAAACCUCAUGAAUAUUUUUAAAAAGCCUAUGGGAAAAAAAUUACAAUCUAAGUUAUGACUAUUACCACCCUUUCACCAUUUCUGAAAGCUUAGCUGAUUCUAUAUGAACUUCUACAACAUCACUACUCAGUAGAACUUUGUAUUACACAAACCAAUUAUUACUAGGCCGCUCUCCCCAUAACUCAAUUCUGCCUAUGGACUCACUUGGAGUGGAGUGGAACAGUUGAUUAAACUGCUUAUAGGAUUUUCGCAGAUGUUCAUAUAUGUAAUUCAUACACUCAAAACUCUGAACAAGUAAUACCUUCCUAUGUACAAUUAACGAUAUUUGUAUUUUUGGAUUGGCAGGCAAAUGAAUAAAAGAACAUCUUUUAUUUACCCGUA
rnacentral:antisense_RNA from 1 species